UCAUGAUGUGGAUGCUGAUGAUGUGGAUGAUGAUGAUGUGGUGCUGAUGAUGUGGAUGAUGAUGAUGCUGAUGAUACUCAUGAUGUGGAUGCUGAUAAUGUGGAAGCUCUCAUUGAUCAACCAGGGACUGAAAUAGUGAUUUGAUGUUUUUGUAUUGCUACUGGACAGUGCCAUGAUGUUGAUACUGAUGAUGUGGAUGCUGAUGAUAUGGAUGACCCUGUUGAUCAACCAGGUCAACUCGAAGCAGUCGUAAAUGCUGGGAUUGGCACAAACCAUAGGCAGAACAACCUAGUGAUGAUGAUGGUGAUGUUAGUGAUGAGGAUACCGAUAACCAUCAUGUUGAAGGAAGUCAUGAUGGUUCUUGUGUUUCUGAAUCCAGCAAGCACGGCAAGAGAUGAACCAACUGCCAGUUGAUGAUUUCUGAUGACAGCUCAGAGGCAAUGAAGUCUACAAUAUUAAAAAAAAGACCUUUUGGUAUGAAAAGCUUGGUUUUUUUCCUGCUAAAUGUGAUGUAAUUUACAUUUUACCUUAAUUACUGUUGAUUUCAUUGGAAUAACAAUAAUAGUAUUGCACUAAAUUAACAGCUUUAUUUUUAUGGCCACUCAAGCACAGUGUGUGUAUACCACGUGAUAAAUUGCGUCAUAAAUGCUACGU